GUUGCUAUGGUGAAAUAGGUAGACACACAGGCUUGAGGGGUCUGCUGACAUCCCACGUCAAUCCCGGUUCAAGUCCGGGUAGCAACA
rnacentral:tRNA from 1 species